rnacentral:rRNA from 2 species
GAUUCAGCGGCGGACGGGUGAGUAAUGCCUAGGAAUCUGCCUGGUAGUGGGGGACAACGUUUCGAAAGGAACGCUAAUACCGCAUACGUCCUACGGGAGAAAGUGGGGGAUCUUCGGACCUCGCGCUAUCAGAUGAGCCUAGGUCGGAUUAGCUAGUUGGUGAGGUAAAGGCUCACCAAGGCGACGAUCCGUAACUGGUCUGAGAGGAUGAUCAGUCACACUGGAACUGAGACACGGUCCAGACUCCUACGGGAGGCAGCAGUGGGGAAUAUUGGACAAUGGGCGAAAGCCUGAUCCAGCCAUGCCGCGUGUGUGAAGAAGGUCUUCGGAUUGUAAAGCACUUUAAGUUGGGAGGAAGGGCAGUAAGCUAAUACCUUGCUGUUUUGACGUUACCGACAGAAUAAGCACCGGCUAACUUCGUGCCAGCAGCCGCGGUAAUACGAAGGGUGCAAGCGUUAAUCGGAAUUACUGGGCGUAAAGCGCGCGUAGGUGGUUCGUUAAGUUGGAUGUGAAAGCCCCGGGCUCAACCUGGGAACUGCAUCCAAAACUGGCGAGCUAGAGUAUGGCAGAGGGUGGUGGAAUUUCCUGUGUAGCGGUGAAAUGCGUAGAUAUAGGAAGGAACACCAGUGGCGAAAGGCGACCACCUGGGCUAAUACUGACACUGAGGUGCGAAAGCG